rnacentral:lncRNA from 1 species
AAUCAAGUAGCCGGCUUGCCUUGCGGAGGAUCCUGCUUCCCCCUCCUCCACCCCAUUUUUUUCCUUUCACCCAGUAAAACCCUGUUUAACUCACCCUUCAAACCGUCUGCGAGGCUACGUUUUCGUGGCCACGGGACGGACAAGGACCCCAUCUUUAGCUGAACUACGGAAAAGCCCUGCAACACCACCAUCUCAUCGCUGACUUGGAAAUAAGCUAGCAGUGGCUGUGUCAGCAAGACCACCACAUGCAGCAAGGGUGGCCACUUCCAGCUAGCUCCUGCAUCCACAGCUGCCUCGCCCCUAUUGGCUACUGCCAUCCAUGUAACAGACUCUUGGGAAAUAUGCUCGGCUGAAAAACUGCAUUUCCCAACUCAAGACCUAAGAGGUGGUCAGGAGAUACAAGCAGGAGUCCUUGGAUGAGAAAAUCACAAAAUUGGGACAAAACCAGGAGAGAGUUGAAGACAAUGGGGGAAGGGGGAGAAAAGCUCCCCAGUGAAUUCAGCUGCCCUUUCUGUACCACUCUAUGUACUUUGAUUUUAUGUCCUUCUGGAAAAAUUAAAUUGGAACUCCCUUUAUCACUUCUUCAUUUCAUUUUUUUUCCGUUGUAAAAAGGGCAAGAGCUUAAUGUGCCACAGAGUAAAGCUGCAGGGGCAGCUGGGCACACAUGGGCAGAUGCCCGAGGCUCUGGGCAGCUGGCUGGGUCUUCCACUCAGUUUCCAAAGUACGCAGUCGUGGCAGCAGCUGGAACCUGGCAGGCAGGUGACAGGAAGACAAGCUAAGGGGGUGCAUAUGGCAUUUCUGUCGGGUUUAAUGUUUUAACAAGUCAGAGGAAUACUUAAAUAUCAAAACGAAGUAUCCCUGCAGUAAAUAUUUAUCCUUUAACCAUAAAAAUAUCCUUUUAUACCCUUUGAGAAUUGAGAGGAGAGGAGAGGAGAGGAGAGGAGGGGAGGGGAGGGGAGGGGAGGGGAGAAGAAUGGAGAGGAGGGGAGGGGAUAGAAGAGGGGAGGGGAGGGGAGUGGAGGGGAGGAAAGGGGAGAGGAGGGGAGGGGAGUGGAGGGGAGGAAAGGGGAGAGGAGGGGAGGGGAGUGGAGGGGAGGAAAGGGGAGAGGAGGGAAGGGGAGAGGAAUGGAGAGGAGAGGAGGGGAGGGGAGGGGAGGGGAGGGGAGGGGAGGAGAGAGAUUCUUCAGAGGUUGAUCCAAGCUACUGAAAGGGUUGUUCAUUCACUGGCAGCACUGGCCUCACCCGGGAGCUUGUUAGAAAUGUAACAUCUUCCUGUUCCCCUAAGUGGCCUGACAAUCUGUGGAAAUGUGAACUCAGGCAAAUCGAGAGGUUCAAAUCUUCGUGUUCAUUGAAGAACACCUGUGAAACUGCUCAGGCCGUCAGGGUAUGCAUAUAUCAAGAGCCACCCAGUAUCUGAAAGAUGUCACUUGACAGAGACAGUGUGUACCAUUCUGACGUUACAAAGGUGGAGUUGGUAGGUGCGUCCAGGCCAAACAGUGGGACUGGACACAGGGUCAGUGGCCCAAAAAGAGUGCUGAAUGUUUGCUGCACAUGCUUAAAAAUGCAGAGUCAUGCUGAACGUAAGGGUUUACAUGUAGAUUCUCUGGUCAUUGAGCAUAGCCAGGUGAACAAAGUACCCAAGAUGUGUGGCCAGACUCACAGAGCUCAGGGUCAGGUUAACCCAUGUGUGAGCUCUGCCUGCCACAGUGAGAUGAGCCUUAUUGAAAAGGAACAAAUUGUUCCUAAACCAGAAGAGGCUGCGCAGAAGAAAAAGAUAGCCCAGAAGAAACUGAAGAAAUGGAAACUUACGGCACAGGAAUAGACUCAUCCAACAAUAAAUGGAAUUAAAAGUACAGGAAGGAAGGAAGGAAAGAAAGAAGGAAGGAAGGAAGGACAGAAAGAAGGAAGGAAGAAAGGACGGAAGGAAGGAAGGAAAAAAGAAGGAAGGAAGAAAAGGAAAGAAAAGAAAAGAAAAGAAAAUGUAGCAUCUCAGGCUCCCCAUCCCAUGGCCUCCUGCUCCUAAUCUGCAUUUUAACAAGAAGCUCAGGGGAUUCAUGUGCACAGCAGUUUGAGAGGUGCUAUUCUAAGGUAUAGAUGAGGAAUUCUUAGUCAAGAAAGUGCAAGCUUGUGGUUCUCAGCUUUAGCUUAGAAGCAUGUGGGGCACCUGAAAAAUACUGAUGACUGGGUCCCACCCUAGAAUAAUUAAAACAACCUCUGGGGGCGGAGCCUAGGCAUGGAUGUGUUUUCAAAGCACCCAGGUCAUCUCAAUGUGCGGCCAAGGCAGAAAAUAUAGGGUAAGUGAUGCUUAGAGCUGCUGAGCACAUUCUGUGGCAACACCCAGGUGGAGACCCUGUCUCCUUCAUGCGCUGCCUCCUCUGCGCUUGGCGACGUGAAGGAAAACUGUCAUACACAGGCUCGCAUCGAAUCCCACAACUAUUCACAAGAUGGUCUAAGUGGGGUGUCUAAUCUUUUGGCUUCCCUGAGCCACACUGAAACAAGAAGAAUCAUCUUGGACCACACAUAAAAUAUACAAACACUAAAGAUAGCUGAUAAGCUGAAGAAAAAAAACUGCAAAAAAAAAAGUCAUAAUGUUUUAAGAAAGUUUACAAAUUUGUGUUGAGCCACAUUCAAAGCCACCUUGGGCCCAUGGGCCAUGGGUUUCACAAACUUGGUCUAAGACUUCAUCCUUGAGUUAGAGUAAGCCUCUUGUCACUGGAGAAAUACCUUACUGCUGUAAACUACAUGAAACACUCAUGCAUAUUACAAAGUGGAAUAUUAAAAUCUGCUGCCCUAAGACAUUGAACAGCUUCAGUGUUAUCCAGCAAUGCUUUACUCAAAUGUGGAUGGAGAGUUUAACUAAAAGGAAAGCAUGGACACUGGGAAACCAAUCAAUCAGAUUUCCUAUUUUCAUAACUGAGAGACAAAAUAAAAUAAGGGUCGACAGAAGGUGCACGUGUUUGCAAUACUUUUGCGAGAGCCCAUUGCCACAGCCAAAUGUUAGCCUCUUGAGGCAUAAAUUAAUUUACCACAAAUGCAUGCCUGGUUGCGUCUGGAUUCUGCUAGGGCGAGCAGUAUGUGUUAGACUUUUGGACAACAGCUUAAAGAAUGACAUUUCUCCAACUUGCUGUGAUUUUUAUCCUCGAGCAGAAUGUUUUUCUUGGAAUGGGUUUCUGGGAGGGUUUGCGGACAUAAUUCUGGUUAUGUGUGCGGGCCCUGAAGGGUGCUUUUAUGAAUUUAGAGCAGCAGCUGUCCAGGCAGAGGGAUGCUCUUUACCCAGAGUGUGUGUGCCCCAGUAAACAUAUGAAUGGCUUUCAUGGAGCUCUCCAGACACGUGGCUUGCGCCCCCUGUGCCCGGCCUUACCUGGUACUGCUGCCCGGUGCAGAGGAUGAGGUGGUCGUAGGGCACGAUCUCGUCCGUGGAAAGCACAACGUGCUUGGCUGCUCGGUCUAUGCCGGUCAUUCUACCCACCACGACAUUAACCCAGGAGCACAGUGACAUCAGUGCAUAAUCUUUAUCAUUAAAACAGUGGCUGCAAAGAGAGAAGCUCCGUAAGUGACAUCUGAGCAGCUGACAGCGGGCAUUAAUUAGACAUCUGGUGAGCUGGUUCAAGUCCCCUAGUGGGCUGAGUCCGUGCUCUUGCUGUGAGUUUACCAGGACUGAUACUAGGAGAUUUUUCGUUAUGAAACACUUAGUUACAAAUUGACAUCUUCCCAUUAAAGCUAAAUUGUUCCACCUGGCUUAGGUCAGCCCACAACUGGGAGGGUGGGAGGGGUGUGUGUGUGUGUGUGUGUUUAUCUGUAUGUGUGUGUGUGUGAAAUCACUCAUACUAUACCUUUCUUCUGCUUCUACUUCAGAGUGGUUGUAAAUUUACUUUAGCUGUUAAAUUGGUGUAUUGACCACAGCCUCAAUGGGAAUGAGAAGGAAGAAAGUGACAUUGUUGAGGAUUCCCAAAGCCAGGGGUCAGAAUCUUUGAAUACCGAGAACCCUUCCUAUUCGCUAAUACUUUUCAGUAAUCACUCAUUCUGAGAAUUAGCGUAUGGCUUCCUGCCAAAACAACAAAACCCAUUUUACUUCAAGAAUAUAGCAAUUAGGGAGUUAGGUUCGCAGCAAGUACACUCCCUGGAGACUUUGGGAUUCACCCUUCAGGGCAGAGGUGAUUUUCUAGGAACGGAGACUUCGACCGCCAGCAGGCCCAGGGCGGCCAUUCAUGCCAUGGCUUCAGCGUGCUGUGGCUGCACUGGCUUCCAUUUUCUGGGCUCUCUUGGAGUUUGAGCGCUUUCACGUAGUAUGAUAAGAGUGGGUUUCUUGUGGCUUUGGGUUUAUUUAAACAGUUUUGUGAGGGUUGUUUCCAGAAUUUUCUGAAAGGAUUGACCUCAGGUAAACCACCUUUUAGUGAUUCUGUUCUGAAUACUGAGAGUCUAAGGUAAUAGGACAUUAAGUGCUUCUUUUAAUUUAGGCUGUAUGAUUCUUUUCUUCCUUUUUUCUCUUAACAUAAAAACACUAACAUUUUUAUUUAUUCAUCUAUUUAUUAUUUAUUUUUAGAAACAGGAUCUCACUAUGUUGCCCAAGCUGGUCUCAAACUCCUGAGCUCAAGUGAUCCUCCUGCCUCAGCCUCCUGAGUAGCUGGGACUGGAGGCACGCGCCACUUCUAUGCUUGGCAGCACAGUCCUCUUCAAAAAGAACCCUGCCAUGGUCUGUGCUGCUGACAAGCCUGGACUCUGCAUCCUCCUGCUGUCUUCAGUUUCCUCACCUCUUAACACAGGGUGGAACUGAAGCAAGUAAUUUGCGAAGACCAUUGAUAUAGUUUGGCUCUGUGUCCCCACUCAAAUCUCAUCGUGUAGCUCCCAUAAUUCCCACGUGUUGUGGGAGGGACCUGGUGAGAGGUAACCGAAUCAUGGGAACAGGUCUUUCCUAUGCUGUUCUCAUGAUAGUGAGUAAGUCUCACCAGAUCUGAUGGUUUUAAAAAUAGGAGUUUCCCUGCACAAGCUCUCUCUUUGCCUGCUGCCAUCCAUAUAAGACGUGACUUGUUCCUCUUUGCCUUCCACCAUGAUUGUGAGGCCUCCCCAGCCACGUGGAACUGAAAGUCCAUUAAACGUCUUUCUUUUGUAAAUUGCCCAGUCUUGGGUAUGCUUAUGUUUAUCAGCAGCAUGAGAAUGGACUAAUACAGUAAAUUGGUACCAGUAGAGUGGGGCGCUGCUGAAAAGAUACCCAAAAAUGCAGAAGCGACUUUGGAACUGGGUAACAGGCAGAGGUUGGAACAGUUUGGAGGGCUCAGAAGAAGAUGAGAAAAUGUGGGAAAGUUUGGAACUCCCUAGAGACUUGUUGAAUGGCUUUGGCCAAAAUGCUGAUAGCGAUAUGGACAAUAAAGUCCAGGCUGAGGUGGUCUCAGAUGGAAAUGAGGAACUUGUUGGGAACUGGAGUAAAGGUGGCACUUGUUAUGUUUUAGCAAAGAGAUUGGUGGCAUUUUGCCCCUGCCCUAGAGAUUUGUGGAACUUUGAACUUGAGAGAGAUAAUUUAGGGUAUCUGGCAGAAGAAAUUUCUAAGCAGCAAAGCAUUCAAGAGGUGAUGUGUGUGCUGUUAAAGGCAUUCAGUUUUAUAAGGGAAGCAGAGCAUAAAAGUUUGGAAAAUUUGCAGCUUGACAAUGCAAUAGAAAAGAAAAUCCCAUUUUCUGAGGAGAAGUUCAAGCCAGCUGCAGAAAUGUGCAUAAGUAACAAGGAGCCGAAUGUUAAUCCCCAAGACAAUGGAAAAAAUGUCUCCAGGGCAUGUCAGAGACAGCAGCCCCUCCCAUCAUAGGCCUGGAGGCCCAGGAGGAAAAAGUGGUUUUGUGGGUUGAGCCCAGGGUCCCCAUGCUGGGUGCAGUGUAGGGACUUGGUGCCCUGCAUUCCAGACACUCCAGCCAUGGCUGAAAGAGGCUAAUGUAGAGCUCAGGCUAUGGCUUCAGUGGAUACAAGCCUCAAACCUUGGCAGCCUCCAUGUGGUGUUGAACCUGUGAGUACACAGAAGUCAAGAAUUGAGGUUUGAGAACCUCCACUUAGAUGUCGGAGGAUGUAUGGAUAUGCCUGGAUGUCCAGGCAGAAGUUUGCCGCAGGGGCAGGGCUCUCAUGGAAAACUUCUGCUAGGGCAGUGUGGAAGGGAAAUGUGGAGUCAGGGCGCCCACACAGAGUCCCUACUGGGGCACUUCUAGUGGAGCUGUGAGAAGAGGGCCACCCUCCUCCAGACCCCAGAAUGGUAGAUCUACCAGCAGCUUGCACUGUAUGUCUGGAAAAGCCACAGUCACUCAAUGCCAGCCCAUGAAAACAGCCAGGAGGGAGGCUGUACCCUGCAAAGCCACAGGGGUGGAGCUGCCCAAGACCAUAGGAACCCACCUCUUGCAUCAGCAUGACCUGGAUAUGAGACAUGGAGCCAAAGGAGAUCAUUUUGAAGCUUUAGGAUUUGACUGCCCCACUGGAUUUCGGACUUGCAUGGAGCCUGUAACCCCUUUGUUUUGGCCAAUUUCUCCAAUUUGGAAUGGCUGUAUUUACCCAAUGCCUGUACCCCCACUGUAUCUAGGAGGUAGCUAACUUGCUUUUGAUUUUACAUGGUCAUAGGCAGAAGGGACUUGCCCUGUCUCAGAUGAGACUUUAGGCUGUGGACUUUUGAGUUAAUGCUAUAAUGAUUUAAGACUUUGGGGGGCCAGGCAUGGUGGCUCAUACCUGUAAUCCCAGCACUUUGGGAGGCCGAGGCAGGUGGAUCACGUGAGGUCAGGAGUUUGAGACCAGCCUGACCAACAUGGUGAAACCCUGUCUCCACUAAAAAUACAAAAUUAGCCAGGUGUGGUGGCACAUGCCUGUAAUCCCAGCUACUUGGCAGGCUGAGGCAGAAGAAUCACUUGAACUGGGGAGGUGGAGGUUGCAGUGAGUCAAGAUCACACCAUUGCACUCCAGCCUGGGCAACAAGAGUGAAACUCCAUCUCAAAAAAAAGAAAAAAAAAAAGACUUGGGGGACUGUUGAGAAGGCAUGAUGGGUUUUGAAAUGUGAAGGCAUAAGAUUUGGGAGGGGCCAGGGGCAGAAUGAUAUGGUUUGGCUCUGUGUCUCCACCCAAAUCUCAUCUUGUAGCUCCCAUAAUUCCCAUGUGUUGUGGGAGGGACCUGUUGGGAGGUAAUUGAAUCAUGGGAGCAGGUCUUUCCCAUGCUGUUCUUGUGAUAGUGAAUUAGUCUCACGAGAUCUGAUGGUUUUAAAAAUAGGAAUUUCCCUGCACGAGCUCUCUCUUUGCCUGCUGCCGUCCAUGUAAGACAUGAGUUGUUCCUCCUUGCCUUCCACCAUGAUUGUGAGGCCUCCCCAGCCAUGUGGAACUGUAAGUCCAUUAAACCUCUUUCUUUUGUAAAUGGCCCAGUCUCAGGUAUGUCUUUAUCAGCAGCGUGAGAACAGACUAAUACAACCAUAUAGCUAGUAAGUCUGGAGGCAGGGUUUGAACCCAGGAUGCCUGGCUCCAGCAUCCUCUCACCUUACCUCUGCCUGUACUGUCCUGUAGAUCUCAAAUUGUUCAGAGGGAUCCAAAGGUCAUCUAAUUCCCAUUGGCUGACAUUAGCUUUAUUACAUUCAGAUACACACAGUUACUCAAAUCAGGAUACCAAAAAGUGUCAUCUGCGAGGAAAUUCUAGAGGAUUCCUUUUUAAGAGCAAAACUGCUUUAUAUUUGCAUCAGGCUUUCCAGAGCCCAAGGCACAUUCAUAGGCAUUCACAUAGAGAUUAAUCUUCUACACAAUUUAUGCUAGGGAUAGGGAAGAGACCGGUUUUUCUGAUCCACAUUUCAUAGGUAAGAAAAUCAAGGUUGGAAAUGGUAAGUAAUUUGUUCAAGGUUACAAAGCUCAUAAGCAGUGCCAGCUAUGAAAGAAAGCCAGGCCUGCUGGCCCUAGGCAGCGCCCUGCUCCAGGCACCCACAAUACUCCCUCUAACUAGUCCUACAGGUAAAGUGCACCUAAGUAGAGACUUCUGAAGAACUCACAUGCUCAAGGCUCACUCCGUGUUUGCCCAUCAGGAUUUAAGAUGCUCUUGCUGCAAAUCCACCCCCUGGUUAAAGUCAGUAAAAUUUCAUGGGUGAGCUGAUCUUUUCAUAGGGUUCAUGCUGAUGAGAUUUUUUUUUCUAAAAUCUCUUCUUAG